UACGUAGGGGGCAAGCGUUGUCCGGAUUUAUUGGGCGUAAAGAGCGUGUAGGCGGCCAUACAGGUCAGCUGUGAAACUCGAGGCUCAACCUCGAGACGUCGGUUGAAACCGUAUGGCUAGAGUCCGGAAGAGGAGAGUGGAAUUCCCGGUGUAGCGGUGAAAUGCGCAGAUAUCGGGAAGAACACCCAUGGCGAAGGCAGCUCUCUGGGACGGUACUGACGCUGAGACGCGAAAGCGUGGGGAGCGAACAGG
rnacentral:rRNA from 1 species